rnacentral:rRNA from 1 species
GACGAACGCGGCGGCGUGCCUAAUACAUGCAAGUAGAACGCUGAAGGAGGAGCUUGCUUCUCUGGAUGAGUUGCGAACGGGUGAGUAACGCGUAGGUAACCUGCCUGGUAGCGGGGGAUAACUAUUGGAAACGAUAGCUAAUACCGCAUAAGAGUAGAUGUUGCAUGACAUUUGCUUAAAAGGUGCAAUUGCAUCACUACCAGAUGGACCUGCGUUGUAUUAGCUAGUUGGUGAGGUAACGGCUCACCAAGGCGACGAUACAUAGCCGACCUGAGAGGGUGAUCGGCCACACUGGGACUGAGACACGGCCCAGACUCCUACGGGAGGCAGCAGUAGGGAAUCUUCGGCAAUGGACGGAAGUCUGACCGAGCAACGCCGCGUGAGUGAAGAAGGUUUUCGGAUCGUAAAGCUCUGUUGUAAGAGAAGAACGAGUGUGAGAGUGGAAAGUUCACACUGUGACGUAUCUACCAGAA